CCUACGGGAGGCAGCAGUGGGGAAUUUUCCGCAAUGGGCGAAAGCCUGACGGAGCAACGCCGCGUGAGGGAUGAAGGCCUCUGGGCUGUAAACCUCUUUUCUCAAGGAAGAAGAUCUGACGGUACUUGAGGAAUAAGCCACGGCUAAUUCCGUGCCAGCAGCCGCGGUAAUACGGGAGUGGCAAGCGUUAUCCGGAAUUAUUGGGCGUAAAGCGUCCGCAGGCGGCCCUUCAAGUCUGCUGUUAAAAAGUGGAGCUUAACUCCAUCAUGGCAGUGGAAACUGUUGGGCUUGAGUGUGGUAGGGGCAGAGGGAAUUCCCGGUGUAGCGGUGAAAUGCGUAGAUAUCGGGAAGAACACCAGUGGCGAAGGCGCUCUGCUGGGCCAUAACUGACGCUCAUGGACGAAAGCCAGGGGAGCGAAAGGGAUUAGAUACCCCUGUAGUCCUGGCCGUAAACGAUGAACACUAGGUGUCGGGGGAAUCGACCCCCUCGGUGUCGUAGCCAACGCGUUAAGUGUUCCGCCUGGGGAGUACGCACGCAAGUGUGAAACUCAAAGGAAUUGACGGA
rnacentral:rRNA from 1 species